rnacentral:rRNA from 1 species
UACGGAGGGUGCGAGCGUUGUCCGGAAUCACUGGGCGUAAAGGGCGCGUAGGUGGCCUGUGGAAGUCUGCGGUGAAAGCCUGGGGCUCAACCCCGGGUCGGCCGUGCGAACUGGGGGGCUGGAGCACUGUAGAGGCAGGCGGAAUUCCGGGUGUAGCGGUGGAAUGCGUAGAGAUCCGGAAGAACACCGGUGGCGAAGGCGGCCUGCUGGGCAGUUGCUGACACUGAGGCGCGACAGCGUGGGGAGCAAACAGG